GGAUGAAAUGAUAUCAGUGGAGACCUGCUCUGGUGUUGUGUGUUAAACUGUAUUCCUAAACAACAUCUAUAGUUUGAUUCACAGCACAAGAGUUUGCUCUCUGUGUUUCAUCAGGAAAUCC
rnacentral:precursor_RNA from 8 species